UAUAGAAUGGGAGAGCUGAUUGAUUGGCAGUUUGACUGGGGCGGUCGUCUUUAAUAGAGUAGCAAAGUACAUCCAAAUAUAAAAUUAAUAAAAAAUAUUUACUAUUAAAUAAUAUUAAUGUGUAAAUAUUCUCACAAAUAUCAUAUUGCUGUAAAUUUUUUAUUUACUUUAACAUCAAUUAUUAUUUUUUGUUUUUAUAAGGUAUAGCUAGAAAUUGAAUGGAGAUCAAUUAACCAGUGAUAAGGUUAUGGAGGGCGCAAUGGCGGUAAGCAUGCUUAACUGAUAGACUUAAAAGUCGCACAGAUACGUAAGUAGGGCAUAGUGACCCCUCGCUAUAUAA
rnacentral:rRNA from 1 species